UGGGGAAUAUUGCACAAUGGGCGCAAGCCUGAUGCAGCCAUGCCGCGUGUAUGAAGAAGGCCUUCGGGUUGUAAAGUACUUUCAGCGGGGAGGAAGGGAGUAAAGUUAAUACCUUUGCUCAUUGACGUUACCCGCAGAAGAAGCACCGGCUAACUCCGUGCCAGCAGCCGCGGUAAUACGGAGGGUGCAAGCGUCAAUCGGAAUUACUGGGCGUAAAGCGCACGCAGGCGGUUUGUUAAGUCAGAUGUGAAAUCCCCGGGCUCAACCUGGGAACUGCAUCUGAUACUGGCAAGCUUGAGUCUCGUAGAGGGGGGUAGAAUUCCAGGUGUAGCGGUGAAAUGCGUAGAGAUCUGGAGGAAUACCGGUGGCGAAGGCGGCCCCCUGGACGAAGACUGACGCUCAGGUGCGAAAGCGUGGGGAGCAAACAGG
rnacentral:rRNA from 1 species